rnacentral:rRNA from 1 species
CAUGCAGUCGACGGUAACAGGUCUUCGGAUGCUGACGAGUGGCGAACGGGUGAGUAAUACAUCGGAACGUGCCUAGUAUUGGGGGAUAACUACUCGAAAGAGUGGCUAAUACCGCAUGAGAUCUACGGAUGAAAGCAGGGGAUCGCAAGACCUUGUGCUACUAGAGCGGCCGAUGAGAGAUUAGGUAGUUGGUGGGAUAAAAGCUUACCAAGCCGACGAUCUGUAGCUGGUCUGAGAGGACGAUCAGCCACACUGGGACUGAGACACGGCCCAGACUCCUACGGGAGGCAGCAGUGGGGAAUUUUGGACAAUGCGCGCAAGCCUGAUCCAGCAAUGCCGCGUGCAGGAUGAAGGCCUUCGGGUUGUAAACUGCUUUUGUACGGAACGAAACGCCCUGGGUUAAUACCCUGGGGUCAUGACGGUACCGUAAGAAUAAGCACCGGCUAACUACGUGCCAGCAGCCGCGGUAAUACGUAGGGUGCGAGCGUUAAUCGGAAUUACUGGGCGUAAAGCGUGCGCGGGCGGUUUUGUAAGACAGAGGUGAAAUCCCCGGGCUCAAC